rnacentral:rRNA from 1 species
CGCGCAGCGAGAGGUGCUUGCACCUUUCAAGCGAGUGGCGAACGGGUGAGUAACACGUGGAUAACCUGCCUCAAGGCUGGGGAUAACAUUUGGAAACAGAUGCUAAUACCGAAUAAAACUUAGUAUCGCAUGAUAUCAAGUUAAAAGGCGCUACGGCGUCACCUAGAGAUGGAUCCGCGGUGCAUUAGUUAGUUGGUGGGGUAAAGGCUUACCAAGACGAUGAUGCAUAGCCGAGUUGAGAGACUGAUCGGCCACAUUGGGACUGAGACACGGCCCAAACUCCUACGGGAGGCUGCAGUAGGGAAUCUUCCACAAUGGGCGCAAGCCUGAUGGAGCAACGCCGCGUGUGUGAUGAAGGCUUUCGGGUCGUAAAGCACUGUUGUAUGGGAAGAAAUGCUAAAAUAGGGAAUGAUUUUAGUUUGACGGUACCAUACCAGAAAGGGACGGCUAAAUACGUGCCAGCAGCCGCGGUAAUACGUAUGUCCCGAGCGUUAUCCGGAUUUAUUGGGCGUAAAGCGAGCGCAGACGGUUGAUUAAGUCUGAUGUGAAAGCCCGGAGCUCAACUCCGGAAUGGCAUUGGAAACUGGUUAACUUGAGUGUUGUAGAGGUAAGUGGAACUCCAUGUGUAGCGGUGGAAUGCGUAGAUAUAUGGAAGAACACCAGUGGCGAAGGCGGCUUACUGGACAACAACUGACGUUGAGGCUCGAAAGUGUGGGUAGCAAACAGGAUUAGAUACCCUGGUAGUCCACACCGUAAACGAUGAAUACUAGGUGUUAGGAGGUUUCCGCCUCUUAGUGCCGAAGCUAACGCAUUAAGUAUUCCGCCUGGGGAGUACGACCGCAAGGUUGAAACUCAAAGGAAUUGACGGGGACCCGCACAAGCGGUGGAGCAUGUGGUUUAAUUCGAAGCAACGCGAAGAACCUUACCAGGUCUUGACAUCCUUUGAAGCUUUUAGAGAUAGAAGUGUUCUCUUCGGAGACAAAGUGACAGGUGGUGCAUGGUCGUCGUCAGCUCGUGUCGUGAGAUGUUGGGUUAAGUCCCGCAACGAGCGCAACCCUUAUUGUUAGUUGCCAGCAUUCAGUUGGGCACUCUAGCGAGACUGCCGGUGACAAACCGGAGGAAGGCGGGGACGACGUCAGAUCAUCAUGCCCCUUAUGACCUGGGCUACACACGUGCUACAAUGGCGUAUACAACGAGUUGCCAACCUGCGAAGGUGAGCUAAUCUCUUAAAGUACGUCUCAGUUCGGACUGCAGUCUGCAACUCGACUGCACGAAGUCGGAAUCGCUAGUAAUCGCGGAUCAGCACGCCGCGGUGAAUACGUUCCCGGGUCUUGUACACACCGCCCGUCACACCAUGGGAGUUUGUAAUGCCCAAAGCCGGUGGCCUAACCUUCGGGAGGGAGCCGUCUAAGC